GUGAACUAGUACCGUGAGGGAAAGGUGAAAAGAACCCCGAGAGGGGAGUGAAAUAGAAUAUGAAACCCUAUGUUUACAAGCAACGGAAGUACUUUAUAUGUACGACCGUGUACUUUUUGUAAAACGGGCCAACGAGUUACGAUAUGAAGCGAGGUUAAGAUGUUAAGCAUCGAAGCCGCAGCGAAAGCGAGUCUUAAUAGGGCGAGAGUUUUGUGUUGUAGACCCGAAACCGGGCGAUCUAUCCAUGAGCAGGGUGAAGCAAAAGUAAAAUUUUGUGGAGGCCCGAACCCAUAUCAGUUGAAAAUGGUUGGGAUGACUUGUGGAUAGCGGUGAAAUUCCAAUCGAGCCCGGAGAUAGCUGGUACUCUCCGAAAUAGCUUUAGGGCUAGCCUCAAGAGAUUAGAUAUGGAGGUAGAGCAGACUGAUUACCUGAGGGGCUUUCAACGGCUGCCAAAGGUUAUCAAACUCCGAAUGCCAUAAUCUUAAAUCUUGGGAGUCAGACUAUGUGCGAUAAGGUUCAUAGUCGAAAGGGAAAGAGCCCAGACCAUCAGCUAAGGUCCCUAAAUAUAAAUUAAGUGGGAAAGGAAGUGGUGUUGCACAGACAACUAGGAUGUUGGCUUAGAAGCAGCAAUUCAUUUAAAGAGUGCGUAAUAGCUCACUAGUCGAGUGAUGUUGCACCUAAAAUUACCGGGGCUUAAAUUUAUUACCGAAGCUAUGGAUCACGUAAGUGGUGGUAGGAGAGCAUUGUGUACGGGUAGAAGCUAAACCGUAAGGAUUGGUGGACUGUACACAAGAGAGAAUGUUGGCAUGAGUAACGAGAGUAAGGUGAGAAUCCUUACCGCCGAAAAUCUAAGGUUUCCUGAGGAAGGUUCGUCCUCUCAGGGUAAGUCAGGGCCUAAGCCGAGGACGAAAGUCGUAGGCGAUGGACAACAGGUUAAGAUUCCUGUACCACCGACAAUCGUUAGAGAGAAGCAAGGAAGCAGAAGGAAAAGCUUAGCCUGGCGAAGGUAGACCAGGUACAAGCUACGAGCCAGUAACCAUUGGCAAAUCCGUGGUUACGUUUAAAGUAAGUAGUUACGUGGAGCGAAAAUAAGUAGCGAAGAAGUGGAUUCACACUGUCAAGAAAAGUUGCUAUCGAGAUUGAAGGUGCCUGUACCGUAAACCGACACAGGUAGAUGGAUAGAGAAUAUUAAGGCGCGCGAGAUAACUAUUGUUAAGGAACUCGGCAAAAUAACCCCGUAACUUCGGGAGAAGGGGUGCCACAUGUAUGUUAACGCAUAAAGUGGUUGCAAAAACAAGACACAAACGACUGUUUACCAAAAACACAGGUCUCUGCUAAAUCGUGAGAUGAAGUAUAGGGGCUGACGCCUGCCCGGUGCUGGAAGGUUAAGAGGAAGAGUUAGCGUAAGCGAGGCUCGGAAUUGAAGCCCCAGUGAACGGCGGCCGUAACUAUAACGGUCCUAAGGUAGCGAAAUUCCUUGUCGGGUAAGUUCCGACCCGCACGAAA
rnacentral:rRNA from 1 species